rnacentral:misc_RNA from 1 species
GAUGAAGAACGCAGCGAAAUGCGAUAAGUAAUGUGAAUUGCAGAAUUCAGUGAAUCAUCGAAUCUUUGAACGCACAUUGCGCCCGCCAGUAUUCUGGCGGGCAUGUCUGUUCGAGCGUCAUUUCAACCAUCAAGCCCCCGGCUUGUGUUGGGGACCUGCGGCUGCCGCAGGCCCUGAAAACCAGUGGCGGGCUCGCUAGUCACUCCGAGCGUAGUAAUACAUCUCGCUCAGGGCGUGCUGCGGGUUCCGGCCGUUAAAAAGCCUUAUUUACCCAAGGUUGACCUCGGAUCAGGUAGGAAGACCCGCUGAACUUAAGCAUAUCAAUAAGCGGAGGA